AAGCGCUUGCAACCAGACUUGCGCGCUGUUGAUCAUCCGAGCUUCUGCCCGGUGCACUCAGCAGCGUUCAGGCCAGCAUCGGUUUUGGUGGGCGGAUAAAGGCCUUGGGAAUGUAGCUUCUUUCGGGGAGUGUUAUAGCCUAUUGUAUAAUACCCUUAUGGGGACCGAGGUACGCGCUCUGCAAGGAUGCUGGCGUAAUGGU
rnacentral:rRNA from 1 species